CAUGAGUCAGUUCAUUUAUGUAUUCACGAAUAAGAUAUGCGUGAUCAACGUAUCAGUACUCUCAGUUAUGCAGUAAUGCAUCAACUCAGUAAUAAAAUCUUGUAUCAAAUAUACAUGCUCAGUAUGCAUCACAAUAAUGUCAGUCAAGUAGUCAUGUUUCAAUUGUUCAAGUUCAGUAUGUAUUUCAGCUUAUCAUUUAUCCCAUCUCAAUCAGUCUCAUUCGAGGAUGAAUUUUC
rnacentral:lncRNA from 1 species